rnacentral:RNase_P_RNA from 1 species
AGUGACCGCGCCCAUUCAGACGAAAGGGAAUGGGUGAGGAAAGUCCGAGCUUCACAGGGCAGGAUGCCGGAUAACGUCCGGUGGAGGCGACUCCCAGGCUAGUGCAACAGAAAUAUACCGCCACGGCUUUGCCCGUGGUAAGGUUGGAAUGGCGAGGUAAGAGCUCACCGCCUCUCUGGUAACAGGGAGGGCAUAUGUAAACCCCAUCCGAAGCAAGACCGAACAGGAAGCAAUACGGCGGCCCGUCGUGCUUUCGGGUAGGUCGCUAGAGCCUGUUGGCAACAGCAGGUCCAGAUAGAUGGUCACUCAACGACAGAACUCGGCUUAUCGUGCUGCUCA